UGGGGAAUAUUGCACAAUGGAGGGAACUCUGAUGCAGUGACGCCGCGUGAACGAAGAAGGCUUUCGAGUCGUAAAGUUCUUUUAUAUGGGAAGAUAAUGACGGUACCAUAAGAAAAAGCCCCGGCUAACUACGUGCCAGCAGCCGCGGUAAUACGUAGGGGGCUAGCGUUGUCCGGAAUCACUGGGCGUAAAGGGUUCGCAGGCGGAAAUGCAAGUCAGGUGUAAAAGGCAGUAGCUUAACUACUGUAAGCAUUUGAAACUGCAUAUCUUGAGAAGAGUAGAGGUAAGUGGAAUUUUUAGUGUAGCGGUGAAAUGCGUAGAUAUUAAAAAGAAUACCGGUGGCGAAGGCGGCUUACUGGGCUCAUUCUGACGCUGAGGAACGAAAGCGUGGGUAGCAAACAGG
rnacentral:rRNA from 1 species